AACGAACGCUGGCGGCAGGCCUAACACAUGCAAGUCGAACGCCCUAGCAAUAGGGAGUGGCAGACGGGUGAGUAACACGUGGGAACCUUCCCUAUAGUACGGAAUAUACCAGGGAAACUUGGAGCAAUACCGUAUACGCCCGAGAGGGGAAAGAUUUAUCGCUAUAGGAUGGGCCCGCGUAGGAUUAGCUAGUUGGUGAGGUAAUGGCUCACCAAGGCGACGAUCCUUAGCUGGUUUGAGAGAACGACCAGCCACACUGGGACUGAGACACGGCCCAGACUCCUACGGGAGGCAGCAGUGGGGAAUAUUGGACAAUGGGCGCAAGCCUGAUCCAGCCAUGCCGCGUGAGUGAUGAAGGCCUUAGGGUUGUAAAGCUCUUUUGCCGGGGACGAUAAUGACGGUACCCGGAGAAUAAGUCCCGGCUAACUUCGUGCCAGCCGCCGCAGUAAU
rnacentral:rRNA from 1 species